rnacentral:rRNA from 2 species
CAGCCGCCGCGGUAAAACCAGCACCUCAAGUGGUCAGGAUGAUUAUUGGGCCUAAAGCAUCCGUAGCCUGCUUUGUUAGUUUUCGGUUAAAUCCAUACGCUCAACGUAUGGGCUGCCGGGAAUACUGCAAAGCUAGGGAGUGGGAGAGGUAGACGGUACUCGGUAGGAAGGGGUAAAAUCCUUUGAUCUAUUGAUGACCACCUGUGGCGAAGGCGGUCUGCCAGAACACGUCCGACGGUGAGGGAUGAAAGCUGGGGGAGCAAACCGGAUUAGAUACCCGGGUAGUCCCAGCUGUAAACUAUGCAAACUCAGUGAUGCAUUGACUUGUGGUCAAUGCAGUGCUGCAGGGAAGCCGUUAAGUUUGCCGCCUGGGAAGUACGUACGCAAGUAUGAAACUUAAAGGAAUUGGCGGGGGAGCAC